GUUGUGGCCCGGGUUAAGUAGCCUGGCGUCACCUGGGAGCUCGAUUGGCUUGCAUAGCUUCACUGCCCACGCAGGGCCUGAUAAACCAGAGCCUGUGUUUCUCCGAGAUGCCCUUACAGUUUGUCUGGAGUGUCCCGGCUGAGCACCGCCCACCAGAGCUCUCAAACUGGAGCUGCGUCGUAAUCCGGCAUCCCCCCGGAAGGCCCUUAAAACCCGGAUGGCUGGGCCCCGCCCCCAGAGUCGCUAAUCUAGCCUGUGCACUUGCAGCCUGUUCCCAGAAGGCAAGGGUGCUGCCCUUCCAGGGAUGCAAGAGGAUGACCCCGGUGAAGCCCGACGUCCUGUUAGCCCUGCGUCCCCGGCCUGCUCUCACGGCUGCACCGCUAGCCCCAGGCUUCUGCAGCACCUCCCAGAAAGAAGAUGGACUCUCACCCAAACUUUGGUCCAGCUGUCAAGACUGAUAACAACACACACACACUAAGAAAGUAUGGAAAUAUUUAUCCCUUACACAAGGCGGCUUUUUGAGGUGAGCAGUGCAGGCCCCUCAAGCUGGUCUAAAAAUGACUUGAGAGCCAGGAAGGGAGACAUACUUGGGCUUCUGUUGUGUUAGGGGUGGGGCCUUGGUGAGGGUUCCAGCAUGGGCAGGUGCCUCCUGUAUGGUUUCAAUUUCCUACUGGUACCAACGGAGGCAGCGUCCAGGCUUUCUUUUCUGUCUGCUAAGAUGUGGGGAGAAAGAAAAGACUCAGGGAUGAGGCUUCAAAGAUGUCAGCAGUUACCUAGAGGGGUGGGAUGUAGGGAGGAGGGAGGGAGGUCCUAGAGGGAGGGGAUAUAUUUAUACAUAUAGCUGAUUCCCCUCAUCAUACAGCAGAAAUUAAUACAGAAAAAUAUCAAUAACCUCAGUUGGCAUAAAGUGAAGAACGAAAGAGCCUCUUGAUGAAAGUGAAAGAGGAGAGUGAAAAGGUUGGGUUAAAGCUCAACAUUCAGAAAACUAAGAUCAUAGCAUCUGGUUCCAUCACUUCAUGGCAAAUAGAUGGGGAAACAGUGGAAACAGUGGCUGAUUUUAUUUUGGGGGGCUCCAAAAUCACUGCAGAUGGUGAUUGCAGCCAUGAAAUUAAAAGAUGCUUGCUCCUUGGAAGGGAAGUUAUGACUAACCUAGACAGCAUAUUAAAAAGCAGAGACAUUACUUUGUCAACAAAGGUCCAUCUAGUCAAGGCUAUGGUUUUUCCAGUAGUCAUGUAUGGAUGUGAGAGUUGGACUAUAAAGAAAGCUGAGCACCGAAGAAUUGAUGCUUUGAACUGUGGUGUUGGAGAAGACUCUUGAGAGUCCCUUGGACUGCAAGGAGAUCCAACCAGUCCAUCCUAAAGGAGAUCAGUCCUGGGUGUUCACUGGAAUGACUGAUGUUGAAGCUGAAACUCCAAUACUUUGGCCAUCUGAUGUGAAGGGCUGACUCACUGGAAAAGACCCUGAUGCUGGGAAGGACUGAGGGCAGGAGGAGAAGGGGAUGACAGAGGACGAGAUGGUUGGAUGGCAUCACUGACUCAAUGGACAUGAGUUUGGGUAAACUCCAGGAGUUGGUGAUUGACAGGGAGGCCUGGCGUGCUUUAGUCCAUGGGGUUGCAAAGAGUCGGACAUGACUGAGCGAAUUAACUGAACUGAAUUACACUUCAAUAAUAAAUAAAAAUUUAAAAAUAAUAAAAUAGAUAAUCAACAACAGCCUACUGCAGCGCACAGGGAACUCUACUCAGCACUCUGUAAUAACCUAUAUGGGGAAAGAAUUGAAAAAGAAUGGAUAUAUGGGUAUGUAAAACUGAAUCAAGUUGCUUUAUACCUGAAACUAAUACAACACUGUAAAUCAACUACACUCCAAUAUAAAAUAAAAAUUAAAUAUAUUAAUGGAUAAAAAGGGAUGCCAAUUUUUUCUUUGUGAUGAUCUUCUGGUCAAUAAAGUGAAUAAAGCAAACAAAAAACAAAAAACAGAGUCAGACUCCUGUUUGCAUUUUCCUACCUGCUUCUUGGUGGAAUGGACCCAUAACUAAUGUAUUGAUAAUGUAUCUCUCUGAUGCUGAGGUUGAAGCUCCAAUACUUUUGCCACCUGAUGCAAAGAACUGACUCAUUGGAAAAGACCCUGAUGCUGGGAAAGACUGAAGGCAGGAGGAGAAGCGGAUAACAGAGGACAAGAUGGUUGGAUGGCACCACUGACUCAAUGGACAUGAGUUUGAGCAAGCUCUAGGAGAUGGUGAUGGACAGGGAAGCCUGGCAUGCUGCAGUCCAUGGGGUUGCAAAGAGUUGGACACAACUGAGCAACUGAACUGAACUUAAUGUAUCUCAUUGUCCAUUUAAUGCUUUGUGGUUUGAAAUGUAUUUUAUCUGAUAUAAAGGUUGUUAUAAGC
ensembl:lncRNA